GAUGAACGCUGGCGGCGUGCCUAAUACAUGCAAGUCGAGCGAACAGAUGAGGAGCUUGCUCCUCUGACGUUAGCGGCGGACGGGUGAGUAACACGUGGAUAACCUACCUAUAAGACUGGGAUAACUUCGGGAAACCGGAGCUAAUACCGGAUAAUAUAUUGAACCGCAUGGUUCAAUAGUGAAAGAUGGUUUUGCUGUCACUUAUAGAUGGAUCCGCGCCGCAUUAGCUAGUUGGUAAGGUAACGGCUUACCAAGGCGACGAUGCGUAGCCGACCUGAGAGGGUGAUCGGCCACACUGGAACUGAGACACGGUCCAGACUCCUACGGGAGGCAGCAGUAGGGAAUCUUCCGCAAUGGGCGAAAGCCUGACGGAGCAACGCCGCGUGAGUGAUGAAGGUCUUCGGAUCGUAAAACUCUGUUAUUAGGGAAGAACAAAUGUGUAAGUAACUAUGCACGUCUUGACGGUACCUAAUCAGAAAGCCACGGCUAACUACGUG
rnacentral:rRNA from 1 species